rnacentral:rRNA from 1 species
AUUGAACGCUGGCGGCAUGCCUUACACAUGCAAGUCGAACGGCAGCACGGGAGCAAUCCUGGUGGCGAGUGGCGAACGGGUGAGUAAUAUAUCGGAACGUGCCCAGUCUGGGGGAUAACGUAGCGAAAGCUACGCUAAUACCGCAUACGAUCUAUGGAUGAAAGCGGGGGAUCGCAAGACCUCGCGCGAUUGGAGCGGCCGAUAUCAGAUUAGGUAGUUGGUGAGGUAAAGGCUCACCAAGCCGACGAUCUGUAGCUGGUCUGAGAGGACGACCAGCCACACUGGGACUGAGACACGGCCCAGACUCCUACGGGAGGCAGCAGUGGGGAAUUUUGGACAAAUGGGCGCAAGCCUGAUCCAGCAAUGCCGCGUGCAGGAUGAAGGCCUUCGG